AAAAAGACAAACCCUGACUUUUCUUGUCCAACUUUAACUGUCCGUUUUAUAUGAAUUUUUUUUAUAAUUCGUAUUUUUGUUGUUGUUAGAUGAUAAAACAUGAUUAAUAUUUUAUGGGUGAUUUGUCUUUUUAAUUUUUUUCAUAAUUUUUUUAAAUAAGACGGACUGUCAAAUAUUAGGCACGAAAAUUAAGGGUUGUCUUUUUU
rfam:Oryza barthii chromosome 5, whole genome shotgun sequence.